rnacentral:lncRNA from 14 species
CACGACUACCAGAGUUGGUGCACUGCAAAGCCUUGAGGGCAUUGACUGGUCCUGGAAAAUAGCAGAUGACAAAGAUUCCUUAAAUAAAUGAAAAAGUACAAGACAUAGUUUCCUGCUUCUAACAAAGGAGGUAACUGUCUUACACUAAGAGCAAGAAAAGUAAAUUCACUUGGCUGUCCCAUAUCUCUAAGGAACCUGAUGCAUGAGUGGACUAGAGAAGAGACAGAGAGAAAAACUCCUAAGACCUACAGAUCAUCUGGCUGGCAGGGUCAAGUUUUCUUUGGAUUGAGGUGGAGCUGUGGCUUAUGGACAUCUGAUGUGAUAGAGCAUACUCAACACUUUUAGAUAUCUUGAGACUGCAAAAGCUGACCAUCAACAGCACGUUUUUAAAUAUCACUGCUCUUCAGACAAGUAAGUUCUCCAUUCCAGAUUUUUUUUUCUCUCUAAUAUUCCUAACUUGUAUUUUAUUCUUGUAUUUAUUAUAUGGACUAUCACAUUCA